GAUAAACGCUGGCGGCGUGCCUUAUGCAUGCAAGUCGAACGGUCCUUCUUCGGAAGGGUAGUGGCGAACGGGUGAGUAACGCGUAAGUGACCUGCCGAGAAGUGGGGAAUAACUGGUCGAAAGAUCAGCUAAUACCGCAUGAGCUCCCUGGUGUAAAGGCUGGGGAGGAAAGCCGAAAGGCGCUUUUCGAGGGGCUUGCGGCCGAUUAGCUAGUUGGUGGGGUAAAGGCUCACCAAGGCGAUGAUCGGUAGCUGGUCUGAGAGGAUGAUCAGCCACACUGGGACUGCGACACGGCCCAGACGCCUACGGGAGGCAGCAGCAAGGAAUGUUGGGCAAUGGGGGAAACCCUGACCCAGCAACGCCGCGUGGACGAUGAAGGCUUUCGGGUCGUAAAGUCCUUUUGUGGGGGACGAUAAUGACGGUACCCCACGAACAAGCCCCGGCUAACUACGUGCCAGCAGCCGCAGUAA
rnacentral:rRNA from 1 species